CACGGUCUGCACUAGACAUCAUUCUUCUCCUAUUAAUAAAUUCUGGUCAAUGACUCCUUAAACUACAUUGAGCCAUAAAGAUCGCAUUUCAUCUCUCCAACUGUGUCGUCCGACGAAAAAUUGAAAGAUUCUGAUUGGCUGCUGAAAGUCGACGUACUUUGCCGAGCACGAGGAUCUUCUGGUCGCCAUCUUGGGAUGCGUUGAUGCCACGGGCGUGACGUCACCGGUUUACGCAAUACUCGUGAGAUGAACUUCUGCAAGGAAGAUUUAAUGUCACUUGGGAGAAUUACUCGGGGAUCGCAAUAAAGAUGUUAAUUGCAGAGUGGAAAUGCCUCGCAGCCGGCAUUAAUCAGUAAAUGAGUCACUUUUCUCGGCUACGACGUUCUUACGCUUUACCGUAGAAGGAUGUGCAGCGGUGAAGAUGCACCCGGAUUUCUCGACCUCGACGACUCUCGGCGGAUAUCGACCCCUGCGAUCAUCUGGAUCGCCGACCUUGACCUCUCCUCCCGUCAUGGACGAGAUCCGGAUCGGUCGUUCCCGGGAUCGCGACCUCUUCCCGCGGAUUACCGGAUCCGAGAUUUCCCGGGACCGGAAGCGGUCGCGUAACAUCCUGUAAGCGAAUACUCGCCUGUCGUCAUCGUGCUUUCGACUUCCGGUGACGAAGCGACGAUCAUUCUCGACAGUGCUUUCCGGGGUGAAAGUCGCCGUUUCCCUCGAGAGUCGCUUCUCUACUUCUUACCAAAAUGUAAACUCGACGAGUAUAUCGGGAAAUAUCGAAUUUUAAAAAGGUGACAUGGAUGUAUAACUUAAAGGGGAAGAAUACAUUGUCAUUUUUAAGGA